CUUGUGAAAGGCAUCUCUACCAAUUUCAGAAGGUCAAAAGUGCAAACUUAUUUGAGACUCGAAAAUCAACAACUGGCUAAUGAGUAGCUAUCAGUGACAACGGUGUGGACAUGGACGCAACCUGUGACUUGGGAGAUAUUAUCAUCAUGUAUUAACGAUACAGAGCAUACAAACUGAUCCAUUGGAAUGAAAAAUUAUAACAUACAGAUUUAUGCAAGAAGGAUGACUGCAAAGUGCGUUGCGUGAGUAGUGUAAGAAGCUGAAAAUUGCUGCUGUUGUAGCUGUCAUAGACACAGGACCUCGGACUUGAUUAUGAUUCCAUUAUGGUAAGCACCUCUAUCAAUCACAGGGAGAUCAAGUCGUUGCCUAAAGAUGUGCAUAUAAAGAUACCCCAUACAGCAGCAUGCCCUGAAGGAGCUUAAUGGAAUAGCUGUGAUGUAGAAACGAGAGACUUGCCUGUCUUUCAGAGCUGCAACCUUCUGAACUUCAGAUAUUGCCCUUCUAUAUGUUGAGAAGGGAUGUGUGAGAAUUCUGUGUUAGAUGCCUUCAUACAAGAAACGGAAAACUGGGGAUGAAUCCUUGCCACUACUUUACUUUACUUAGGAAUUUACAGAUGAAUCAUCCCUUAAUCUAAAAGUAAUGACAUAGUUAGAUAAUAAACUUUUGCUAUUCAGAAUGGACCCAGUUACCCUCUAAACGGCUAAUUAGUUUGAAAUGCUGCUGGCCACAGAUACCUACAAUUUACAUUCCCUUGCUUUCCUUUCUUACAAAUAAUGAACAUUUCACUAAACUUCAAACACGCUUUUGUCUUCUGUUCAAGCAAAAGAAAAAGAGCUGAAUUUAAGCAUGCUCGUGUGUGAGGGGUGCUCCUGAGUUCAGCGUUUGAUUUGUUUGCAGUGAGAACUAAGAAGAUAUGUUUAAAAUACUGCUGGUUGUACUUAUGUGUGAGAAGAAUCCCAGCCAUGAAAGAAUCUAAAGGAGGAGGAGACAGGAGUUUUUUGCUUCACUCUUUUACUAACAUCAGUAAGCUAUUGAUUUGGCCAUAAGAUUGAGUGAAGAUGCACCACCUAAGGAAUUUUAGAUAGAAGGUCACAGUUUAACACUCAGUGCAGGGCAUACUUAUGCAUCUGUUCCAUUUCACAGGGCAUCCGCUCCAUUUCCAGGCAGAGCUGCAGGACUCUUCAUGUAUAAAUAAAUAACCUGGUGUAAGACAGAUUAUGUUCCUCGGAUAUCAAUCACUGGUAAAUAUUGUGUUUCUACUCAUGAAGUAAGAAUAGUAAAUGGAAACUCAUGAAGAUUUCAGGUUGCCAUUAUAUUUACAGUCCUGGGCUCACUGCUGAGAAUUAUUGGAUGUCUUUGCCUCUGAAUAUGGGCUGAAAGCUUCAGUGGGAUACUCAUUCCUUGCUUGCCUCUCAGACUUUCAAAUCAACAUUAAUCUUGGUUCUUAUAACCCUACUUCUGAAUCACUGUAAAUAAUGCAAAAAGCUACCAGAUCUUUGCCAGUUAGGCUCAAGUAAAAAACAAACCCCCAAACACAACCUUUCCUGAUUCUUUAUCUGGCAAAUGGUUUGGGCCAAAGUGAGUAUUGUGUGAGUAUUGUGAGUAUUGUGUGAUUACAGGGACUGAUUGCACUGGGGGAAAAAGGGAGAAAAUAUGACAAGAAAAGCUUUGGAGUGCCUUCUAGUAGAUGCAUGAUGGAAGGACAAUCGUUUCAUUCCCCUUCCUUCUAGCUGGCCAUUACCUCUUUUUCUGUCAGCAGUCAGACAUCCCCUAUUUUCAGCCGCAAGUAACACAUCUCUGUAUGUGCUGAUGUCAAGAGACAAGGUUGGUUCAACCCGGGAAUAUUGCCAUCUUUCUGUGGCAGUGACUCCAGUUUCUUCACAGUCUGUGUGCUUCCCUCACCAGCCCCUCUUCUCCACUGACUGAAACAGAGGUGAGAGAUUGUUUACAACAUUCAGGAACUCUGUAUUGGAGACUGUUGGUAUUUUGAAAGAAACCACAGUUGGGUGUUCUGAGCCUAAACUCUGAUAUUUUCCAAUAUAGAUACAGCUGCUGUUUCAUUGCUUAUGAAUUUUGGCAUAUUAAAAAAAAAUUCCAGUCAUGUUUCAAUCUUUUUUCUUAUUAUAUUCCAUUCUGUUUAUUUUUAGAGGAGAAAAAUAUAGUCAGAAUAUAUACAUUCUUUGUUUUUCCUUGUUCAGUAUAUCAACAGCUUAGACUGUCAUCGUUUUUAAUAAACGGUCAGAAUAAGAAGGAACUCAAAGCUUGCUAAGUGCUUGUUUUUUUUUAAUCAUUGUGGUAAUAGGGAUGCAUUUAGGUAGAUAGGUGUGGAUAUUUGUUAACCUUUUCCUUCUUGACAUAACUGCUCUUAUUUUAGGGUUAGAUCUUUUUGUUCUGUAGCAUCCUCAUUUAAUAAUGAAAAGACGCUCACAAACAAAAGUAGCCCAGCCAUGGAAUGGUAUCAGCAGAGCCAAAACCAUCUCAGCCAAAAUGGCAGCCAAGGGGUAUGCAGCACUUCAUUAAUCUGGUUUGGUCCAGGUACCCUGGAAGUAGGCCUAAGGAAAAUCAUUGCAACUUGGCAUAGCUAGCUUUAUCCUUCAUGAGCUUUAAUGUGGAACAGAUGUAUGUUAAGCGAUGAUUAUUUUCGACUUGAGUACAAGGAGUAUGAUAUUUUUUAAGUCCUCCUUUUAAUUCCAUUUUGACUUACAGCCACCAAAAAUUUGAUUUCAGUUUGUCUCUUCCUGACAAGAAUUUGUGUUUUCUGCAGUAAUGUUCUACUCCAUACAGCAUCACAGUUAGCACACCACAGGCUUCAUGAUGGUAGGCCUCCUGAAUAUUCUGACAAGAUUGCUUCAGGUGACACUAUUAGUUCCUAUUACAGAGUAAAUUUCCAGAUAAGGAGAGAUUUGUCUUACCACAAAAAUAUACAGCAUUUUCAAAUGUAGAAAUUGGAAGCUUAUUUUUGCUACUUGUAUGAAACAGUCACCUAGGAGAAAGCCAUUUAUAAACUGGGAGAGGGAGGUAGAGACUUUUUAGAGGUAUUUUCAGCCAAUUUUGAUUCUCUUUAAUUAUCUUAGGUAUUCUCAAGCAUUUUUUUUCCAGUGGAUUCAUAUUUCAGCCAGUAUUUCUGACAAUCUAUUUUAUGCUUCAUUGACCACUAGGUUUGAAAUUCUAGCCCAUAUUGGCACAGUAGUGCCAAGUUUGUAGUGAUAAAUGGAUAACUUUUUUAUUUUAAAUAGGUAUCUGUUAUUUAAUUUGUGGUCUCUAAUUUUUUUUUUUUUUUCAGUUCAUUAGUUCUGCUAUUUUUCUGUCUAGGAAAAAGUGAUCAAAAGAGACAGAGGGAUCAAGGUGGAAUAUUGCUUUAGACUUGUUCAUACAAAAUAAAAUCAGAAGAAAUGGAUUGUCCAAGGAAGUGUAAAUGUAAUCAUAUCAUGUGCUCAUUUUUCUCUAACAAUGAAUUUGCUGAAUUUAUUUAUUUAUUUUUUUACUGAGAAAUGAAAGAUCAUAUUUUUCAUGCUGAUAGUUUUUUCUCUACCAAGAUUGCUACUCUUCAGAACCUAUUUAAAAUGUGCAACCCGUAAUUCAUAAUUGGGUAGUAUGCUUGCUAAUGCCAUUUUCAUAAAUUUCUUGAAUUUCAACAGAAUGUUAGUUUUGCUAAAUUAUAACCUCCUCUACUAAAAGCGGUAACACCUCCUAUCAUUGUUUAAAUGUGCUGUACUAUGCAAUUAUAAAGAGGAGGAAGCUGAAGAGGAGAUUAAACACUGAGGAAAUGCUUCUAUUUUAGUAUAUUCUCUGUUGUUCUUUAUCCAUUUUACAGUAAACCGCAUUUCCUCAUAAACAGGCCUUGAAUCUAAAGAGUUAGUCAGACUUCUACAGAAGUUUACUUUUUAUAUUGCUCGUGUAAGGUUUUCCUGUUCUUGGUUUUUAAAAUCUUACAGAACCUUUUUUUUUUUUUUUUCAUUUUCCUCACCCUAAACCUCUCCUCAUAUCCUCAUUUCAAAACUGA